rnacentral:rRNA from 1 species
CACGUAGGGCGCAAGCGUUGUCCGGAAUUAUUGGGCGUAAAGAGCUCGUAGGCGGUCUGUUACGUCUGCUGUGAAAACCCUGGGCUUAACCCUGGGCUUGCAGUGGAUACGGGCAGACUAGAGGCAGGUAGGGGAGAAUGGAAUUCCCGGUGUAGCGGUGAAAUGCGCAGAUAUCGGGAGGAACACCGGUGGCGAAGGCGGUUCUCUGGGCCUGGUCUGACGCUGAGGAGCGAAAGCGUGGGGAGCGAACAGG